UCAAAGGCUUUUUUAAAAGCGAACUAUAUUAAAUUAGACUCUCUAU
rfam:Loxodonta africana unplaced genomic scaffold scaffold_2, whole genome shotgun sequence.